rnacentral:rRNA from 1 species
AGUGAACGCUGGCGGUAGGCCUAACACAUGCAAGUCGAACGGCAGCACAGUAAGAUCUUGCUCUUACGGGUGGCGAGUGGCGUACGGGUGAGGUAUACAUCGGAAUCUACUUUUUCGUGUGGGAUAACGUAGGUAAACUUACGCUAAUACCGCAUACGACCUACGGGUGAAAUCAUUGGAUCUUCGGACCUUUCGCGUUUGUAUGAGCCUAUGUCGGAUUAGCUAGUUGGCGGGGUAAAGGCCCACCAAGGCGACGAUCCGUAGCUGGUCUGAGAGGAUGAUCAGAAAAACGGGAAGUGAGAAAAGGUAAAGAGAACGACGGGAGGAAGCAGAGGGGAAUAUUGGAAAAUGGGGGAAAGCAUGAUACAGCAAAACCGAGUGGGAGAAGAAGGACUGAGGGGUGUAAAGAAAUUUUGUUGGGAAAGAAAAGAAGGAGGUUAAAAACAAGAUGUUAUGACGGUAACAAAAGAAUAAGCAACGGCUAACUUCGUG